rnacentral:rRNA from 1 species
UAGGGGGCAAGCGUUAUCCGGAUUUACUGGGUGUAAAGGGAGCGUAGACGGCACUGCAAGUCAGAAGUGAAAGCCCGGGGCUCAACCCCGGGACUGCUUUUGAAACUGCGGGGCUGGAGUGCAGGAGAGGUAAGCGGAAUUCCUAGUGUAGCGGUGAAAUGCGUAGAUAUUAGGAGGAACACCAGUGGCGAAGGCGGCUUACUGGACUGUAACUGACGUUGAGGCUCGAAAGCGUGGGGAGCAAA